AGAUGUACACAGACAUAGGAGGUCUCGCGCUGUAAGUUUACAUAGUCCCAGGUUGUGACGGGUUCCCGGGACUAUGUCAACUUCCAGCUUGGCACCCUUCUCAUCACCACGCACAGUU
rnacentral:precursor_RNA from 9 species